rnacentral:tRNA from 1 species
GUAUGAUUAGCUUAGUUGGAUAAAGCACCCGAAAUUCAUCGGGAUAGCCUGGGUUCGACUCCCAGAUCGUACU